AUUGAACGCUGGCGGCAGGCCUAACACAUGCAAGUCGGGCGAGCGGCGGACGGGUGAGUAAUGUAUGGGGAUCUGCCUGAUGGCGGGGGAUAACUACUGGAAACGGUAGCUAAUACCGCAUACCAUCAGAUGAACCCAUAUGGGCUUAGCUAGUAGGUAAGGUAACUGCUUACCUAGGCGACGAUCCCUAGCUGGUCUGAGAGGAUGAUCAGCCACAUUGGGACUGAGAGACAGACACGACUCCUACGGGAGGCAGCAGUGGGGGAUAUUGCUCAAUGGGCGAAAGCCUGAUGCAGCGACGCCGCGUGGGGGUUGAAGGCUUUCGGGUUGUAAACCUCUUUCGCUAUCGAACGGGUAGGUGGGGAAGAAGCGCCGGCUAACUACGUGCCAGCAGCCGCGGUAAUAC
rnacentral:rRNA from 1 species